GCCUUCAUGGUGUAAUGGUCAGCACACUGAGCCGGUAUUUCAGAGGUCCGCGGUUCGAUUCUCGGCGAAGGCG
rnacentral:tRNA from 1 species